AACGCACCUUGCGCUCCUUGGUAUUCUGAGGAGCAUGCCUGUUUGAGUGUCAUGAAAUUCUCAACUCAUCCGGUUUUUGUGACCGUGGUGGGCUUGGAUUUGGGGGUUUGCUGGCUGACUAGUCGGCUCCCCUCUAAAUGUAUUAGCUGAACUCGUUGUGGAUCAGUACUCGGUGUGAUAAUUGUCUACGCCGUGUCUGUGAAGCGCCUUAGUGGAUUGGCUUCUAAUCGUCUUCGGACAAUCAUUGACAUUUUGACCUCAAAUCAGGUAGGAUUACCCGCUGAACUUAA
rnacentral:misc_RNA from 1 species